rnacentral:rRNA from 1 species
AACGAACGCUGGCGGCAGGCCUAACACAUGCAAGUCGAGCGAGGACUUCGGUCCUAGCGGCGGACGGGUGAGUAACGCGUGGGAACGUGCCCUUUGCUUCGGAAUAGCCCUGGGAAACUGGGAGUAAUACCGGAUGAGCCCUUUGGGGGAAAGAUUUAUCGGCGAAGGAUCGGCCCGCGUUGGAUUAGGUAGUUGGUGGGGUAAUGGCCUACCAAGCCGACGAUCCAUAGCUGGUGUGAGAGGAUGAUCAGCCACACUGGGACUGAGACACGGCCCAGACUCCUACGGGAGGCAGCAGUGGGGAAUCUUAGACAAUGGGGGAAACCCUGAUCUAGCAAUGCCGCGUGAGCGAUGAAGGCCUUAGGGUUGUAAAGCUCUUUCAGCUGGGAAGAUAAUGACGGUACCAGCAGAAGAAGCCCCGGCUAACUCCGUG